UACGUAGGGGGCAAGCGUUGCCCGGAUUUAUUGGGCGUAAAGCGCGCGUAGGCGGCCCGGUAAGUCCGCUGUGAAAGUCAAGGGCUCAACCUUUGAAUGUCAGCGGAUACUGCCGGGCUAGAGUCCGGAAGAGGCGAGUGGAACUCCUGGUGUAGCGGUGGAAUGCGCAGAUAUCAGGAAGAACACCCGUGGCGAAGGCGGCUCUCUGGGACGGUACUGACGCUGAGACGCGAAAGCGUGGGGAGCGAACAGG
rnacentral:rRNA from 1 species